rnacentral:rRNA from 1 species
GACGAACGCUGGCGGCGUGCCUAAUACAUGCACGUAGAACGCAGUUGCGAACGGUUGAGUAACGCGUAGGUAACUGCCUGGUCGCGGGGGAUAACUAUUGGUAACGAUAGCUACUACCGCCUACUACCAGAUGGACCUGCGUUGGAUUAGCUAGUUGGUGAGGUAACGGCUCACCAAGGCAACGAUACAUAGCCGACUCGAGAGGGUUAUCGGACACAACGGGAAUGGUGAACGGCCCAGAAGCCUACGGGAGGCAGCAGUAGGGAAACUUCGGCAAUGGGGGGAACCCUGAACGAGAAAAGCCGGGGGAGUGAAGAAGGUUUUAGGAUGGUAAAGCUCUGUUGUGAAGGAAGCGGUACUUAACAAGAAAGGGACGGCUAACUACGUGCCAGCAGCCGCGGUAAUAC